rnacentral:rRNA from 1 species
GACGUAGGGUGCGAGCGUUGUCCGGAUUUAUUGGGCGUAAAGAGCUCGUAGGCGGCUCGUCGCGUCGACCGUGAAAACCCGCAGCUUAACUGCGGGCUUGCGGUUGAUACGGGCGGGCUAGAGUUCGGUAGGGGAGACUGGAAUUCCUGGUGUAGCGGUGAAAUGCGCAGAUAUCUGGAGGAACACCGGUGGCGAAGGCGGCAUCCUGGACCGACACUGACGCUGAGGCGCGAAAGCUAGGGUAGCAAACGGG